rnacentral:rRNA from 1 species
AUUGAACGCUGGCGGCAGGCCUAACACAUGCAAGUCGAACGGUAACAGGAAGAAGCUUGCUUCUUUGCUGACGAGUGGCGGACGGGUGAGUAAUGUCUGGGAAACUGCCUGAUGGAGGGGGAUAACUACUGGAAACGGUAGCUAAUACCGCAUAACGUCGCAAGACCAAAGAGGGGGACCUUCUGGCCUCUUGCCAUCGGAUGUGCCCAGAUGGGAUUAGCUAGUAGGUGGGGUAACGGCUCACCUAGGCGACGAUCCCUAGCUGGUCUGAGAGGAUGACCAGCCACACUGGAACUGAGACACGGUCCAGACUCCUACGGGAGGCAGCAGUGGGGAAUAUUGCACAAUGGGCGCAAGCCCGAUGCAGCCAUGCCGCGUGUAUGAAGAGGGCCUUCGGGUUGUAAAGUACUUUCAGCGGGGAGGAAGGGAGUAAAGUUAAUACCUUUACUCAUUGACGUUACCCGCAGAAGAAGCACCGGCUAACCCCGUG